rnacentral:misc_RNA from 1 species
GCAAUUUUCGUAACCGUGCCUUACGAGAACAGUCAUGUAAUUCCAUCAAAAUAAUUGCUGGAGCUUUUGGAUAUGGAGCCACAAGCUGCUGGCAGCCCUCAAUCACAAGUUUUGCUAAAGAGGGAAGGUGAGAGGGUAAGGCUUUUGUCAAGAUAAAACAUUCCUUUAUGCAAAGCUCUCGGAGACGAGGAAAAGCUCCUGCACAAGGAAUCCACUCAUGCCAUUGUGGCAUGAGCAUAAUCCCUAACCUUUCAAGGGAUCGAAAUGGCUUCU